rnacentral:rRNA from 1 species
AGGGCAAGUCUGGUGCCAGCAGCCGCGGUAAUUCCAGCUCCAAUAGCGUAUAUUAAAGUUGUUGCAGUUAAAAAGCUCGUAGUUGAAUUUCGGGGUCAGCAGGUCGGUCGUGCCAAUGGUAUGCACUGGCCUUGCUGAUUCCUCCCUCUUGAUGAGCCGUAAUGCCAUUAAUUUGGUGUUGCGGGGAAUCAGGACUGUUACUUUGAAAAAAUUAGAGUGUUUAAAGCAGGCAAGCGCUUGAAUACAUUAGCAUGGAAUAAUGAAAUAGGACGUUCGAUCCUAUUUUGUUGGUUUCUAGGAUUGACGUAAUGAUUAAUAGGGAUAGUUGGGGGCAUUAGUAUUCAAUUGUCAGAGGUGAAAUUCUUGGAUUUAUUGAAGACUAACUACUGCGAAAGCAUUUGCCAAGGAUGUUUUCAUUAAUCAAGAACGAAAGUUAGGGGAUCGAGGACGAUCAGAUACCGUCGUAGUCUUAACCAUAAACUAUGCCGACUAGGGAUCGGAUGAUGUUAAUUUUUUAAUGACUCAUUCGGCGCCUUACGGGAA